rnacentral:rRNA from 1 species
UACGAAGGGGGCUAGCGUUGUUCGGAAUCACUGGGCGUAAAGCGCUUGUAGGCGGAUCGUUAAGUCAGGGGUGAAAUCCCGAGGCUCAACCUCGGAACUGCCUUUGAUACUGGCGAUCUCGAGUUCGGGAGAGGUGAGUGGAACUGCGAGUGUAGAGGUGAAAUUCGUAGAUAUUCGCAAGAACACCAGUGGCGAAGGCGGCUCACUGGCCCGAUACUGACGCUGAGGUGCGAAAGCGUGGGAGCAAACGGG